GGAGCACCAGUUGCUUCAAGGCUCACUGACGUUCAUAGCAAUAUGGCACAAUUACAGGCUCAAAUGGAGAAUCGUUAGGAAAUUUUUAGAGUUCCAAGGUAAAUAUUGAGUGUGAUUGAUAACUGAUAUACAAUGGCCUCAUAUAGAAAUGAACAAAAUCUACUGCCGGGAAAUUUGUCUAAUUGCAAGUAUAUUUUUCUCACUCCAAGGUAAAAAUUCAACUAUCCAGAACAGUGGCCUGAUAAGUAUUGGGGAAAAUUUCUCGCUUCAAGCAAGACCAUGUAUGGAUAAAUCCAAGGUGAUCCAACAGUCUAGAACAAUGGCCGAAUGCCCUAAUCCUUAUGCAUUAGGUGCACGAGUGUCGAGUGCAGGCAUAACUGAGACAUCCAAAUUUUCAAACCUCUAAUGCGUAACAAACACGUAACAAAAUAAGACGUGCUCACAUGCAUAAAGUAUGGUUUGAGGAUGAAAAAAUCUGCCCUAUGUCUCUCCGGGCGUGCUCUUUGAUGGCCUCUCCGCAUCCACUUCGUUGGUUCUCCAGUUCUGCUCCUCGUGGGCGAGACAACCGAGGUGGAAGUGGAAGGACGCAACCAGGUAGAGGAAGAACAUACGGAACCCACAUCAUUGGGGCUGGCCGACCACCGGUUGCAGGUCGAGACGUCGAGUUCCAGGACCGGCGGGCCUUUGGUGCUGCUGGGAGAUUGUUGGGGAGCCGCCGCUCUCUCUCAAGCUCGUCGAGUGAUGGGGAGCCCAGCCGCCAUCGGACUGCCGCCAAGCCAUCCGUCGGCUCCUCAGCGGACGGAGACAAGGAGAUUAGCGGCGGGCAACAUGACACGGGGAGUGGUGCUCUCCGUCCACGCCAUCCUCUUGAUGGCGGGUUCCCUGGCUGCAAAGCUAGGAGGUAUGGCUGUGGCGAUUUCUUCGGAGAGAUCGCAAACAAUAGGGUGGGGGAGGAGAGGACCAGGAGGCCAAGCAUUUAUAGGCGGCCCAAAAGAAAUGUACAAACGGAUUCGACUGGAAAAGCCUAGAAGAACCAGCACUGACCUAAAUUCAUUACGUGUCAAUUGGAAGAAUUGUAGUCAACGGCAUGGGGGUCGGACGUGGCUACAUGCAUGGCCCGUGAGGGGCGCGUGAAGCGGGAAACAACCCACGUGAAGCUCGAAGCACCACGUAAAAUUGAACGUGUAGACCAGUAAAAAAAUAAGGAACUCUCUGGUAGAACGUGCAGCACACGCAUCGGGAGACAAGAACUGGCAACCACGACGUCAAAUCGAACGUGUUUAAAAGAUCCAACCAGAGAAAAAAAUCAGGCCCAAAGAACUACAAUGUACACGCAUCACACUCCAAACAGCGAUAUUUUCCCCCCCCAAAAAAACAGGUAAAUGAAUCCCUUACGGGCCUAGUCUUUCAUGGCAACAAAAAGCAAGGUAAGAAGAGAAGUAGUUUACCAAAGGGAGUGUGCAGUGGAGCACCAGUUGCUUCAAGGCUCACUGACGUUCAUAGCAAUAUGGCACAAUUACAGGCUCAAAUGGAGAAUCGUUAGGAAAUUUUUAGAGUUCCAAGGUAAGUAUUGAGUGUGAUUGAUAAAUGAUAUACAAUGGCCUAAUAUAGAACUGAACAAAAUCUACUGUUGGGAAAUUUGUCUAAUUGCAAGUAUAUUUUUCUCACUCCAAGGUAAAAAUCCAACUGUCCAGAACAGUGGCCUGAUAAGCAUUGGGGAAAAUUUCUCGCUUCAAGCAAGACCAUGUAAGGAUAACUCCAAGGUGAUCCAACAGUCUAGAACAAUGGCCGAAUGCCCUAAUCCUUAUGCAUUAGGUGCAUGAGUGUCGAGUGCAGGGAUAACUGAGACAUCCAGAUUUUCAAACCUCUAAUGCGUAACAAACACGUAACAAAAUAAGACAUGCUCACAUGCAUAAAGUAUGGUUUGAGGAUGAAAAACCCUGCCCUAUGUCUCUCCGGGCGCGCUCCUUGCUGGCCUCUCCGCAUCCACUUCGUUCGUUCUCCAAUUCUGCUCCUCGUGGGCGAGAUAGCCGAGGUGGAAGUGGAAGGACGCAACCAGGUAGAGGAAGAACAGAAGGAACCCACAUCAUUGGGGCUGGCCGACCGCCGGUUGCAGGUCGAGU
rnacentral:lncRNA from 1 species